GACGAACGCUGGCGGCGUGCCUAAUACAUGCAAGUCGAACGCACUCUCGUUUAGAUUGAAGGAGUUUGCUCCUGAUUGAUAAACAUUUGAGUGAGUGGCGGACGGGUGAGUAACACGUGGGUAACCUGCCCUAAAGUGGGGGAUAACAUUUGGAAACAGAUGCUAAUACCGCAUAAAACCUAACACCGCAUGGUGUAGGGUUGAAAGAUGGUUUCGGCUAUCACUUUAGGAUGGACCCGCGGUGCAUUAGUUAGUUGGUGAGGUAAAGGUUCACCAAGACCGUGAUGCAUAGCCGACCUGAGAGGGUAAUCGGCCACACUGGGACUGAGACACGGCCCAGACUCCUACGGGAGGCAGCAGUAGGGAAUCUUCCACAAUGGACGAAAGUCUGAUGGAGCAACGCCGCGUGAGUGAAGAAGGUUUUCGGAUCGUAAAACUCUGUUGUUGGAGAAGAAUGUAUCUGAUAGUAACUGAUCAGGUAGUGACGGUAUCCAACCAGAAAGCCACGGCUAACUACGUG
rnacentral:rRNA from 1 species